rnacentral:lncRNA from 1 species
AUUAUUUCUUUGAGAGUGAUAUCUUUUCAGCCUUAGUUCAUUUCGGCAGUUUCAUUGCCAAAAAGCUCACUGUUUUUGCUAAUUUUGUUUCUUAACUUGUUUGCUGUUUUUGUGUGUUUGCUGUUUUUUUAUUUGCAAAAUGGCUGGCUAUUCAAGUGGUGCAUCUUACAAACAGCAUUCUCCUUCCAAAGCUUCAGUCCUUG